rnacentral:rRNA from 1 species
CCUACGGGUGGCAGCAGUGAGGAAUAUUGGACAAUGGGCGCAAGCCUGAUCCAGCUAUUCCGCGUGUGGGAUGACGGCCCUCUGGAUCGUAAACCCCUUUUAUAAGGACAUAAAGUGCGGGUCGUGUCCCGUUCUGUAUGUACCUUACGAAUAAGGAUCGGCCAACCCCGUGCCAUCACCGGCGGUAAUACGGUGGGUCCGAGCGUUAUCCGGAUUUAUUGGGUGUAAAGGGUGCGAAGGCGGCCCUGUAAGACAGAGGUGAAAGUCCGUGGCUCAACCUAGGAAUUGCAGAUGAGACUGGGAGGCUUGAGUGUGUUUGAGGCAGGCGGAAUUCGUGGUGUAGCGGUGAAAUGCGUAGAUA